AACGAACGCUGGCGGCAUGCCUAACACAUGCAAGUCGAACGGGAUCCGAGCUUCGGUUCGGUGAGAGUGGCGGACGGGUGAGUAACGCGUGGGAACCUGCCCAGUGGUGGGGGAUAACUGCGGGAAACUGCAGCUAAUACCGCAUGAGCCCGAGGGGGGAAAGAUUUAUCGCCAUUGGAGGGGCCCGCGUUCGAUUAGGUAGUUGGUGAGGUAACGGCUCACCAAGCCUUCGAUCGAUAGCUGGUCUGAGAGGAUGAUCAGCCACACUGGGACUGAGAUACGGCCCAGACUCCUACGGGAGGCAGCAGUGGGGAAUAUUGGACAAUGGGGGGCAACCCUGAUCCAGCAAUGCCGCGUGAGUGAUGAAGGCCUUCGGGUUGUAAAGCUCUUUGUCCAGGGACGAUGAUGACGGUACCUGGAGAAUAAGCCCGGCUAACUUCGU
rnacentral:rRNA from 1 species